rnacentral:lncRNA from 1 species
AAGAAUGAUCCCCGUUGGGGAUGACGGAUCCGGGGAUGGUAUGCUGGUCUCCAUCCCCGAUCCCCGUAAACCCGCUCCGUCAAGCAGGCAUCAAGGCACCGCGCAACCGCAAUCAGGCAACCAGGCCCAUGUAAAGGCCCAAGUAUUGGCUCAGAGUAUAUAUACGCAACAUCUUCUAAACCUAAUUCCCCACUCCCCAAUCCUAUCCAUUUUCUCCACCGGCCGCCGCUCUCCCUGUGUGGCUGUGCGGUGCCCAACAAUCCUAUUCUGUCCAUUUUCUCCUGUCUGCAGUCCGUCUUCACUAGAUCUCUACUCUGGCCAACAAUACACAGUUCCAUGCUCUUGAGUCUUGACGAGAAGUCUGGCCGCCGUGCUCCUACCUCUCCGUGUCUGGUUGCCAGCAAUCCUGGAGGCUGGUCCGUAGGAAGUCUGUCUCUACCUCAUCAGAUGCUUGAUGCGUACUGGUGCUGGAGCAGCACUAGUGUGUUUUCUUUAGUUCUUUAUUAGUGUUUGUGUCCUAUGCUUGUGUAUGUAUCAUGAAAACUUGUGAUUUGUGAACAUAUGGCUAUGCUUUUUUUGUUGCGUAUGUGCUGGACACCUCAACAGCUAUAUGCAACUGAUAAACCUUGUUGCCUUGCUAUUGGAAUGGAUUGCUUAGACUUUUCUGUACCGUGAAUCUAUGAGUAAACUUUCGUGUGGUUUGGUUUCUCUGGGAAACUUUUUGUUACCGUGUUCGGGGAUGGGGAUCUCCACGGGGACUAAAUCCCCGGCGGGGAACGGGGAUGGGGAAGAAAUGUCCCCGUUGAUGUUCACGGGGGCGGUGACGGGGAAAAUUCUUCCCCGCGGGGACGGGGAUGGUGGCUUAUUACCCGAGGGGGAAUUCCCCGUUGCCAUAGCUAAGGACGAUCGCUUUCUCGAGCCGCCAUUCGUAGCCCCGUAGAUCCAUCGCCGAAGUUUUAGAUCUCAUUCCCGGCGAACUUUUCCGGCGAACGUUCGGCGAGCGUUUCCGGGCAUCUCCGGCAUCUCCUGCGAAAACCGACACCGCUGCGAGGUUCGUCUCGUCAUCCUCUACACCGGCACACUAUCCUUUUCUCGAAUCCAUGCUCGUUCAUCGUUUCCCUAACUUUAUCUCUUUUCCGAUGAGAAGCACCAUGGCUAAUCUUUCUUCAUCUUCUCCGGUCAUCCAGCAUCGCCUCGGCCUCCCAGUGCCCGAACCCAUGUCGCUACUGAUCCGCGGCCUUGUCGCGCUCAUCUCCCUGCGCCUGGCGUCUCUCCCAUCGCACCACGUACAGGUCGUAGG